AGAGCCUUAUCCUGGCUCAGGACGAACGCUGGCGGCGUGCCUAAUACAUGCAAGUCGAGCGAAUCAGAUGGGAGCUUGCUCCCGGAUGAUUAGCGGCGGACGGGUGAGUAACACGUGGGCAACCUGCCCGUAAGAUUGGGAUAACUCCGGGAAACCGGUGCUAAUACCGAAUAGUUUCUGACACCUCAUGGUGUCAGAGGGAAAGUUGGCUUCGGCUAACACUUACGGAUGGGCCCGCGGCGCAUUAGCUAGUUGGUGAGGUAACGGCUCACCAAGGCGACGAUGCGUAGCCGACCUGAGAGGGUGAUCGGCCACACUGGGACUGAGACACGGCCCAGACUCCUACGGGAGGCAGCAGUAGGGAAUCUUCCGCAAUGGACGAAAGUCUGACGGAGCAACGCCGCGUGAGCGAAGAAGGCCUUCGGGUCGUAAAGCUCUGUUGUCAGGGAAGAACAAGUGCCAUUCGAAUAGGUUGGCACCUUGACGGUACCUGGCCAGAAAGCCACGGCUAACUACGUGCCAGCAGCCGCGGUAAUACGUAGGUGGCAAGCGUUGUCCGGAUUUAUUGGGCGUAAAGCGAGCGCAGGCGGUUUCUUAAGUCUGAUGUGAAAGCCCCCGGCUCAACCGGGGAGGGUCAUUGGAAACUGGGAGACUUGAGUGCAGAAGAGGAGAGUGGAAUUCCAUGUGUAGCGGUGAAAUGCGUAGAUAUAUGGAGGAACACCAGUGGCGAAGGCGACUUACUGGACGAUAACUGACGCUGAGACACGAAAGUGUGGGGAGCAAACAGGAUUAGAUACCCUGGUAGUCCACACCGUAAACGAUGAAUGCUAGGUGUGGGGGCGCAAGCCUCCGUGCCGCAGCUAACGCAAUAAGCAUUCCACCUGGGGAGUACGGCCGCAAGGUUGAAACUCAAAGGAAUUGACGGGAGCCCGCACAAGCAGUGGAGUAUGUGGUUUAAUUCGACGCAACGCGAAGAACCUUACCAGGACUUGACAUCCCGAGAACCCGACGUAAUGGUUGGGGUGCCCUUCGGGGAAUUCGGUGACAGGUGGUGCAUGGUUGUCGUCAGCUCGUGUCGUGAGAUGUUGGGUUAAGUCCCGCAACGAGCGCAACCCUUACGGUUAGUUGCUACGCAAGAGCACUCUAGCCGGACUGCCGUUGACAAAACGGAGGAAGGUGGGGACGACGUCAAAUCAUCAUGCCCCUUACGUUCUGGGCUACACACGUACUACAAUGGCGAAUACAAAGGGAAGCAAUGCCGCGAGGCGGAGCAAACCCCAUAAAAAUCGUCCCAGUUCAGACUGCAGGCUGCAACCCGCCUGCACGAAGUUGGAAUUGCUAGUAAUCGCGAAUCAGCAUGUCGCGGUGAAUACGUACCCGGGCUUUGCACACACCGCCCGUCA
rnacentral:rRNA from 1 species